rnacentral:rRNA from 1 species
GUCUACAGUCACAUCACCCUGAAUGACCCUAGUCUCACUUGACCUCAGAAGCCAAGUAGGGUUGGGCCUGGUUAACUCUUGGAUGGGAGAGUCCUGUCUGGAGGAACCCAGUCUUGUGUCUC